rnacentral:rRNA from 1 species
UACAGAGGGUGCAAGCGUUAAUCGGAUUUACUGGGCGUAAAGCGUGCGUAGGCGGUUCACUAAGUCGGUUGUGAAAUCCCUGGGCUUAACCUGGGAACUGCAGUCGAUACUGGUGGACUAGAGUACGGUAGAGGGUGGCGGAACUCCGGGUGUAGCGGUGAAAUGCGUAGAUAUCCGGAAGAACACCGAUGGCGAAGGCAACCACCUGGGCCUGUACUGACGCUGAGGUACGAAAGCGUGGGGAGCAAACAGG